rnacentral:rRNA from 1 species
GACGAACGCUGGCGGCGUGCUUAACACAUGCAAGUCGAACGGUGAAGCGCCUUCCUUUUUGGUGGGUGUGGAUGAGUGGCGAACGGGUGAGUAACACGUGAGUAACCUGCCCCCUUCUUCUGGAUAACCGCAUGAAAGUGUGGCUAAUACGGGAUAUUCUGGGUCUGUCGCAUGAUGGGUCUGGGAAAGAUAUUGUUUCGGUGGGGGAUGGGCUCGCGGCCUAUCAGCUUGUUGGUGGGGUGAUGGCCUACCAAGGCGGUGACGGGUAGCCGGCCUGAGAGGGUGGACGGUCACACUGGGACUGAGACACGGCCCAGACUCCUACGGGAGGCAGCAGUGGGGAAUAUUGCACAAUGGGCGCAAGCCUGAUGCAGCGACGCCGCGUGAGGGUUGGAGGCCUUCGGGUUGUGAACCUCUUUCGCCAGUGAAGCAGGCCUGCCUCGUUUGUGGGUGGGUUGACGGUAGCUGGAUAAGAAGCGCCGGCUAACUACGU